CUCACAUCCAUUGCUGCAACACAGGCAAGCAGCUUUGAAUAGCGUGAAAGGCUCACUUGGAGAUUAACUAGCAUUUAGAUCCGUCGUGAUUCCCCCUCCAUUCUAUGUAAUUUAAUGAAUUAAUAACAAAAGACUGAAAAAUUUGGCAAAACAUAGGCCAAAUAUCUAUUAAUAUAUAAUAAGAAUAUAGUUGUGAUAUUUGCUCGACAAGUGGAGUGUUCUGUGUUUGACACGUGGAGCUGUGUAUGAUUGACAAGUGACUUUCAAGAAGAGAAUAUGAGAGAGAGAGUUGCCAGUUCUGAUAGGGGGAGUAGUUGGCACCAGACUUCCUCUUUCAAUGUCGCAGAGAAGAGAAGAAGAAAAGGUUGGUGAAGAAAUAAAGCACGAUGGAAGAAGUGGGUGGCGAUGACAAUGACGGUCACAGAGAAGGAUGCUAGAUUGACAGAGAAAAGAAGAGGAAUGAGGCGGCGACGGCGGUGAUGGAGCUUACCGACGCUGUUGGAUCCAUAGAACUUCAUCUACCGCAGAACGCCGUCGCAGCCGUUCCUUUGCCAGCGGAUGCUGCGAAUGAAGGAUGAACAUCUGAGGUGGUGAUUGACCUGCAAUUGCAAGUAAAAUUUUUAGUCUCUAUAAUUCUUUGUUGUGGUCUCUGAUGGAGUCUUUGAUUAUGCCAACAAUGUCCUCCAGGUAAUACUAUCCUUUAAAAUUUCCUUUUGUUGCCAUUUGCAUUUAUGUUGAUAUUAGAGGAAUGAAAAGAUUGCUGCCUAGGAUGGUGGAUAUUGAUUCUAUAUAAUGAAAUUGACAUUAAAUUUCUACAUUUUAUGCCUCAUUUGACAUGAUUGAUAACAUUUUUAUCCAGUUCAAUAAUAUAUUUAAUGUUAUAUAGACCUUUUCAAUUUUACCGGUACUUCCAUCCUCAUCAUCAUAGAGUUCAUGAGGAAGUUCAAUAAUAUUUAUUUGGGUUUGAUGCCUGUACUCAGCAACCGUUAAUCCAUAACAUAUAGAGAAAAAAGAAUAAACAUUUGUGUGUUAUAUCCAUUUCAUUUUAAUUAAUUAGAUCCAACACUAAAAUAUAUUUAUGUGUUCUGAAUUUGCACCCACCAUCUCAUUGUUAGGGAUUCUUUCAUUUGGUAUGUCAAUCCUCUCAUACUAACACAUCACAUAUGCCAAUAUAAAUUUUCUCGAAAGAUGUUUUGAGUUCUUAAUUUAUCAGCUAGAAUUGAUUUCAGUAAAAAAGAUCUGCUUUUGGAAAUUCUACAAGAGAUAAUUUUGAAGCAAUGAAGAUCAUCAAGAACAACUUCUCCGACAAAGCUCAAGGUGUGAAAUCUGCUGCAACGUGCUCCGGCUGAAGUUGCACCUGCCAAAGCGGUAUGAAUGAUUCAUCUGCCUUAAUCGCUAUUUUUUUACCCUUUUUUUGUUUAAAUUGGAUCUUUUUUUCUCUUCUUUAAUUUGUUCAGUUUAAUUCUUAGAUGGCACUCUUUAAAAUUUAACUAAGUUUAUAUGUAUUUAAAUAAUUUUGAUCUUCCUUUUCCUUCCAUAACUAACUUCUGUAUAUUUUUUUCUGAGUUUUCUUUAAAAAUGAGUUUCAUACCAUAUAUAAAUAUUGAAAACUCAAGGGCACAUAGAUAAUGCAAACGGUUAAAGUCAUGUAUUACAUGCAGUAUUUUGUGAAUAUGCAGCAAUAAUACUAAUAAUAGUUGGUAAAUUAUCUGCUUUAAUUUUCUUUUUCUUCUGCUAUACAUGCAUGAUGAAUGUAGUUUUCCAUUUUUUAUUUUGUACUGUGAUUUCUAUUAACUCAGUAUACACCACUGUUGCAGUUUUAUGUUAUGGUUUGUUGGCAGUUUUUUAAUCAUUGAACCAUGCUCUUGACUAUUUUCUAUAAGUCUGUAACUAUAACAACUUGAAAAUUAUAUAGAUUUUCUUUCCCCUAUUUUGUAAAAUAAAAAAUUUUAUAGUUAACUAAUUUAAAAAUAGGCCACUACAUGUAAAACAAACAUUUUUUUACUUCUUUAGUUAACUAAUUGAUUAUUAGCAUUUUAUUAGAGAAGAGAUCAUGAACUUGAAUUCUACAGUGAUUCCAUUAGCCUGUGUACUAAAGAGUUUAAUCGUAUCUUUUUUAUGUGCCCUUAAUGUUAUGAAAUUGGAUGUAGAUCCUCGAUUGCGGUUUAAUAGAAGAAGGCAGAGAUAAUAGGAGAUGUAUUCAUCCUAAUUUUGUAUUAUUGCUGAAAGUUUUCAAUUGCUCUCUUGCCUUUUGUGUUGUUCUUCGCUCCCCCUCUGAUUUGAACUUCUGUGUUUUCAAUUUUAAAGAUUUUAUUAUCAGCUUAGAUGAUAUUGCUUGAGUUGUUCACCGUUCAAUUUGUCCCAUUGAUCUUUAGAGGUGAUGUAGUUAUUGUGCUACUAAUAAUUGAAAUUUUAAUUAUUAUAAUCGACAGAGUAUGGAAAUGACUAUGAGAUUAGCAAAUAUAUAAUUAUUUGUUGCACAUUAAAGAUACAAAUUUGUUGUCUUAACAUAGAUGUCGACAUAGAUAAAAGAACUUCUUAAUCUAAGGUUUACUCACUGCAUUAUUAUUCAACUUUGUUGGCCAAUUAUAAAUAAUUUUACUUCAUUAAAACUGUCAUUGCAGUGUUGUUUCGCGAGUACAGAAACCAAGUUCAUGGUAUAUAAUUAUAUCACUGGCUUUGUUGCAUGUUUGGUUCUUCUUCUUAAACUAUGUUUUGUUAGUAUUAUUGUUAUUGUUU